rnacentral:lncRNA from 1 species
CCAGCCUCUCCAGUUCUCGUUUGACCCGUCCUCUUAAUUUUACUGAGACCCACUGACGGUCCAGAAUACAAAGAAGGUUUGCAUGCGAUCAGAACAUGUGUUCUGCUGCCCAGUGGUGUGUUCUGUGGUAUGGAGGCUGCUGGCUACAUCACAGAGAAGCUUCUGGGAUUACCAACUUGCCAAUUUGCUCUAGUAAUUACUGAGAUGUGGGGACUGAAAUCUCUAGUUAUAAUCGUAGAUUAGGUCCGCCAAGAUGGCUCAGCUGGUAAAGACACUCGCUAAAGCCUGACGGCCUGAGUCUGAUUCCCAGAAUCCCCAAAUAGGUGACAGGAGAGACUGGCUUUACGAAGAAGCCCUCUAACCUCCUCAUGUGCACUGUGGUGUGAGUAUACACACACACACACACACACACACACACACCAGUAAAUAAAAUGGUUUCCGG